rnacentral:tRNA from 1 species
UGUAGCUCAGUGGUAGAGCACGUGCCUAGUAUGUAUGAGACCCUGGGUUUGAUGCCCAUCA